GAUCCUGGCUCAGAUUGAACGCUGGCGGCAUGCCUUACACAUGCAAGUCGGAACGGUAACAGGUCUUCGGACGCUGACGAGUGGCGAACGGGUGAGUAAUACAUCGGAACGUGCCCAGUCGUGGGGGAUAACUACUCGAAAGAGUAGCUAAUACCGCAUACGAUCUGAGGAUGAAAGCGGGGGACCUUCGGGCCUCGCGCGACUUGGAGCGGCCGAUGGCAGAUUAGGUAGUUGGUGGGAUAAAG
rnacentral:rRNA from 1 species